GGAAACAGGGACGCAUUUCUACAGUAUUGAAGCAGGGCCUGAGCUUUAGCUGUGUUGCUAUGGAAACCAGUCCAGGUGUGAAGUUAGGUUUUAAAACAAGAAGACACACAACAGGACUGUUUGGAUCAGGAGUCUGACAUGGCACCCUGUUCUGUGGUAGUGCACUACAUUGGAGCAGAGGGCCCUGUUUACAAAGGUAGUGCACUACAUUGGAGCAGAGGGCCCUGUUUACAAAGGUAGUGCACUACAUUGGAGCAGAGGGCCCUGUUUACAAAGGUAGUGCACUACAUUGGAGCAGAGGGCCCUGUUUACAAAGGUAGUGCACUACAUUGGAGCAGAGGGCCCUGUUUACAAAGGUAGUGCACUACAUUGGAGCAGAGGGCCCUGUUUACAAAGGUAGUGCACUACAUUGGAGCAGAGGGCCCUGUUUACAAAGGUAGUGCACUACAUUGGAGCAGAGGGCCCUGUUUACAAAGGUAGUGCACUACAUUGGAGCAGAGGGCCCUGUUUACAAAGGUAGUGCACUACAUUGGAGCAGAGGGCCCUGUUUACAAAGGUAGUGCACUACAUUGGAGCAGAGGGCCCUGUUUACAAAGGUAGUGCACUACAUUGGAGCAGAGGGCCCUGUUUACAAAGGUAGUGCACUACAUUGGAGCAGAGGGCCCUGUUUACAAAGGUAGUGCACUACAGUGGAGCAUAGGGCCCUGUUUACAAAGGUAGUGCACUAUGGAGGGAAUAGGGUGCCAG